rnacentral:rRNA from 1 species
GACGAACGCUGGCGGCGUGCUUAACACAUGCAAGUCGAGCGGUAAGGCCCUUUCGGGGGUACACGAGCGGCGAACGGGUGAGUAACACGUGGGUGACCUGCCCUUAGCUCUGGGAUAAGCCUGGGAAACUGGGUCUAAUACCGGAUAUGACUCCAUGAUGCACGUUGUGGGGUGGAAAGCCUUGUGCGGCUAGGGAUGGGCCCGCGGCCUAUCAGCUUGUUGGUGGGGUGAUGGCCUACCAAGGCGACGACGGGUAGCCGGCCUGAGAGGGCGACCGGCCACACUGGGACUGAGACACGGCCCAGACUCCUACGGGAGGCAGCAGUGGGGAAUCUUGCGCAAUGGGCGAAAGCCUGACGCAGCGACGCCGCGUGAGGGAUGACGGCCUCGGUGU